AUCCUGAGUAAAACUGUGAGAGUCUGCUUCGCUUAAGAUCUGCCGGAAGUCAGACGCCACUUCUGUGAAGUUCUGGAAACACAAAAGAAAUGAUUGCCAUCAAGAGCGACGCGGCAAACAUCCUGGACGUCGACCGUUCCAUUGUCUACAUUGUGAUCCAAGUUGCUGAUUCAUCUCAGAGAAAUGCCGGCUGAGCUCCUUCACCCUGCGAGAAGACAGCGUAGUAUUCAGAAAGGCGCCAACU